CCAAAAAACUAUGAAAACAAGACUGUGAACUUAGACGAAUCGUUCGUUUAAGCGGACAAAAACGGAAAAAUGGAGAAAUCGUGUCAGAGCGUAAAGCUAAUGGCAUUCGCUCUUGGCUGCAAAGUGAUGUUUCGGAAGCGCAAUUUGCGAAGGAAACUUCUUGGAGUAUUUAUUUCUGUUAGUGGGGAACGCUGAUUAAAUUUAUCUGUGUCCGCAUAUCCCUGUAAUUGCUAUUUCGCUACAAAUGGAAAAGUUUCCGAUUUUCAUCCGAUAAAUCUAGCUGGAAUCGAUGAAACUCGAUCAUAGAAAAAAUUACGAAAGUCCUUCUACAGCAGUUUUCAGGUUUCAUGGGGCAACUUCCUGUUGACCGGCCCAACAAUUAUAAUAAUUAAUUAACUGUUUUGUCUGCUUGAUGGAAGCCGCACUUUGAAAAAAUUUAGCGCAUUUCCAUCGUCAUCCCUCGCCCCGUUUCGUGGAAAGUGGAAACCCUCCCGGCUGCGCGCUAGUUUGGCGCAGUCGGAAUUAUCAAUACAACAUUGCGGGUUCUGGAUUAACCUGACAUACGAUAAUUCUUAAAAAAACAAUAAUUUUAUUCGGUCCUUUCGUGAAUAUUUCGAUCUGUGAUACGUACGUUAUUUGUGAUAUGCGCUAAACUUGGGAGACGUUAUAGUGCGACAAUACGUGACCAAUUUUAAGGUGUACAGUGUUAACUUGUUUGUAUUUUGUAAACGUUUAUUAUUGCUCGUGCGAAAGCUGGAAGAAUGGGUUGGAUGUCGCUCAAAGCUCACCUGAAAGAACUGUUCACCCACAAGCUGGAAAGUGACACGGUUGCAAGUCGGGAACGGAAAAUGUCCGCGUCUUCGACCGCCAGCAUGAAGAACAAAUGGCUCAAAGCCUUCAAAAGCCUUAAAACCCCACCCCCUGAAGAUCCCAAG
rnacentral:lncRNA from 1 species